rnacentral:ncRNA from 2 species
GACGUGUUAGCGGGAGAGAUCGUAUCGCACAACUGUGUGAUCGGCGCCGAAGGAGCAACUGCCCCGGAAACUCUCAGGCAAAAGGACCGUUAACAUGAC